rnacentral:rRNA from 1 species
CGAUAAUCCACGUACGCCCAACCUUCUCUCGAUACUCAGCAUGUGUACUGCCGUUGCAAGCAUACCUUUAAAAGAAUAGUAUGCUACUAUGAUUAAACAAUAAAACUCAUAUACAUCAGGUCAAAGUGCAGCUAAUAAGAAGGUGAUGAUGGGUUACAACCCUAAAACAGACUAUCAACUAAGAAAUUAAGAAUCUUACGAAAGUGGACCUGGCUGUAAUCAAUUUAAAUUAAAGAAAUGAAUUCUAUCUAAGACAUGCACACAUCGCCCGUCACUCUAUCCUAAAGGUUAGAUAAGUCGUAACAAAGUAGGUGUAAUGGAAAUUGUACCUGUCGAAGUAUAGCAUAUAAAAUGCUUUUUACUUACACUAAAAAUAAAGUUAAAUAACUUGCUUCGCCCACACAACUAAAUCUUAUAAACUAUAUAUAAUCAAAACAAAUAAAUUAAUAUAAUUAAUACAGUACAGAAAUGGAAACAACAAUAAAUAAAAGUAAAUCUUAACAAUUAUACCUCGUGUAUUAUGGUUUUACAAGAAAAUAGUUAAAUACACCAAUCCCGAAUUCUAAAUGAGAUGUUAAACUGCUGUUAUGAACCCAUUAGUAACUGUGGAAAAAGAUUUAAAAGACAGUUUAACAGAGGCUACAUACCAUUCGCAUAAGAAUAUAGCUGGUUUUCAACAAACAUUAUAUAUUAAAACAUGUAAUUAUAUUAUAGUGUAAAAUUAUUGAGGAUAAGCCCAAUAAUAAGUGCAAUAAUGCACCAACUCUAUCUUAUCUUAUAGGCCUAAGACCAGCCAACUAUAGUACUUUAUCGUAACAUAAGUAGAUAUAAUAUGUGAUACAAAAUGCCCCAAAAAGUUGAAAUAAGGGAAAAACUAAAUUUUCCUUCAAUAAUAUGUAAAAAUAAGUAUUAUAAACCCAAAAUACAACAAUCUAGUAAUAACACCAAAUAAAACAACAAUGAUUAAUUAAGGAACUCGGCAAACAAUUAUUUCGACUGUUUAACAAAAACAUUGUCUUAUGAACACAAUAUUAGAUAAUACCUGCCC